rnacentral:rRNA from 1 species
UACGUAGGGCGCAAGCGUUGUCCGGAAUUAUUGGGCGUAAAGAGCUCGUAGGCGGCUUGUCACGUCGGAUGUGAAAGCCCGGGGCUUAACCCCGGGUCUGCAUUCGAUACGGGCAGGCUAGAGUGUGGUAGGGGAGAUCGGAAUUCCUGGUGUAGCGGUGAAAUGCGCAGAUAUCAGGAGGAACACCGGUGGCGAAGGCGGUUCUCUGGGCCUGUACUGACGCUGAGGAGCGAAAGCGUGGGGAGCGAACAGG